GACGAACGCUGGCGGCGUGCUUAACACAUGCCAGUCGAACGGAAAGGCCCUGCUUUUGUGGGGUGCUCGAGUGGCGAACGGGUGAGUAACACGUGAGUAACCUGCCCUUGACUUUGGGAUAACUUCAGGAAACUGGGGCUAAUACCGGAUAGGAGCUCCUGCUGCAUGGUGGGGGUUGGAAAGUUUCGGCGGUUGGGGAUGGACUCGCGGCUUAUCAGCUUGUUGGUGGGGUAGUGGCUUACCAAGGCUUUGACGGGUAGCCGGCCUGAGAGGGUGACCGGCCACAUUGGGACUGAGAUACGGCCCAGACUCCUACGGGAGGCAGCAGUGGGGAAUGUUGCACAAUGGGCGGAAGCCUGAUGCAGCAACGCCGCGUGCGGGAUGACGGCCUUCGGGUUGUAAACCGCUUUCGCCUGUGACGAAGCGUGAGUGACGGUAAUGGGUAAAGAAGCACCGGCUAACUACGUG
rnacentral:rRNA from 1 species